rnacentral:rRNA from 1 species
GUACUCGUUAAGGCUGAGCUGUGAUGGGGAGAAGACAUUGUGUCUUCGAGUCGUUGAUUUCACACUGCCGAGAAAAGCCUCUAGAUAGAAAAUAGGUGCCCGUACCGCAAACCGACACAGGUAGUCAAGAUGAGAAUUCUAAGGUGAGCGAGCGAACUCUCGUUAAGGAACUCGGCAAAAUGACCCCGUAACUUCGGGAGAAGGGGUGCUCUUUAGGGUUAACGCCCAGAAGAGCCGCAGUGAAUAGGCCCAAGCGACUGUUUAUCAAAAACACAGGUCUCUGCUAAACCGUAAGGUGAUGUAUAGGGGCUGACGCCUGCCCGGUGCUGGAAGGUUAAGAGGAGUGGUUAGCUUCUGCGAAGCUACGAAUCGAAGCCCCAGUAAACGGCGGCCGUAACUAUAACGGUCCUAAGGUAGCGAAAUUCCUUGUCGGGUAAGUUCCGACCCGCACGAAAGGCGUAACGAUUUGGGCACUGUCUCAACGAGAGACUCGGUGAAAUCAUAGUACCUGUGAAGAUGCAGGUUACCCGCGACAGGACGGAAAGACCCCGUGGAGCUUUACUGUAGCCUGAUAUUGAAAUUCGGCACAGCUUGUACAGGAUAGGUAGGAGCCUUUGAAACGUGAGCGCUAGCUUACGUGGAGGCGCUGGUGGGAUACUACCCUAGCUGUGUUGGCUUUCUAACCCGCACCACUUAUCGUGGUGGGAGACAGUGUCAGGCGGGCAGUUUGACUGGGGCGGUCGCCUCCUAAAAGGUAACGGAGGCGCUCAAAGGUUCCCUCAGAAUGGUUGGAAAUCAUUCAUAGAGUGUAAAGGCAUAAGGGAGCUUGACUGCGAGACCUACAAGUCGAGCAGGGUCGAAAGACGGACUUAGUGAUCCGGUGGUUCCGCAUGGAAGGGCCAUCGCUCAACGGAUAAAAGCUACCCCGGGGAUAACAGGCUUAUCUCCCCCAAGAGUUCACAUCGACGGGGAGGUUUGGCACCUCGAUGUCGGCUCAUCGCAUCCUGGGGCUGUAGUCGGUCCCAAGGGUUGGGCUGUUCGCCCAUUAAAGCGGUACGCGAGCUGGGUUCAGAACGUCGUGAGACAGUUCGGUCCCUAUCCGUCGUGGGCGUAGGAAAUUUGAGAGGAGCUGUCCUUAGUACGAGAGGACCGGGAUGGACAUACCUCUGGUGUACCAGUUGUCGUGCCAACGGCAUAGCUGGGUAGCUAUGUGUGGACGGGAUAAGUGCUGAAAGCAUCUAAGCAUGAAGCCCCCCUCAAGAUGAGAUUUCCCAACUUCGGUUAUAAGAUCCCUCAAAGAUGAUGAGGUUAAUAGGUUCGAGGUGGAAGCAUGGUGACAUGUGGAGCUGACGAAUACUAAUCGAUCGAAGACUUAAUCAA